rnacentral:rRNA from 1 species
UACGUAGGUGACAAGCGUUGUCCGGAUUUACUGGGCGUAAAGAGCGCGCAGGCGGUCGUUCAAGUCGAGUGUGAAAGCCCCCGGCUCAACUGGGGAGGGUCACUCGAUACUGAUCGACUCGAAGGCAGGAGAGGGAAGUGGAAUUCCCGGUGUAGUGGUGAAAUGCGUAGAUAUCGGGAGGAACACCAGUGGCGAAGGCGGUUCUCUGGGCCUGUACUGACGCUGAGGAGCGAAAGCGUGGGGAGCGAACAGG